GUGUGAGCCACCACGCUGGGCCAGUCCAAGUUCUUUAUUUUGACUGAAACAGUGUUUAUAAAUGUGCUUUCCUUAUUGUUUCCUGUAUCUAUAGUUUAUUUUCUCUGAAUAGGAUUUUUAAAAUACAAUAGAAUUAAAAUGUAAACCUCAAAAAAGGGGUGAGGAAUGGAGGGAAGAUAUGUGAGUAGGCCAGGACAGAAUGAGAGCGUCGUUGUGGGUUCCUGAGGCAACAGUUAUCCAAUGUCAUUGUUAUUUUUAAUGAAAUUCAAGGAAUUUGCAUUUAUUCCAAAUUGGAAAAGAUGUGAACCAGGAACAACCUGCCUGACAGUUUAUGUAUCUUUGGCGAUUUUCCUUUGAACCAUGGGAAAAAUCAUGUUUAUCUUGUAGUUUACAUUGUAAUUCUCAUCCACUCCUCUGUGAAGACGUGGAACUGUGCCACCCAGAACCUCCUGCAAGAGAAGACUUGCUGCCCAACUGAGGGGAAUGAAGUAAGCAGCCAGGCUUCAGCUGUCAGAUCUUCCCAAUCUGCCUCAAUUGCAGGGAGCCCCUUCACCUGAGGUAAUGCCCUUCCUGGGGUAGCCUGUAUCCAGAGGCUGAGACAGAAAAGAAAGACCCAGCCAUUGUAGCCUGACACAGGAUGCUUUGUUGGUCUUCACUCUACAGAGCUCUCCACCAGGUUCAGGGAAG
rnacentral:lncRNA from 1 species